UACGUAGGGGGCAAGCGUUGUCCGGAAUUAUUGGGCGUAAAGCGCGCGCAGGCGGUCCAUUAAGUCUGGUGUAUAAACCAAAGGCUCAACCUUUGGACGCAUUGGAAACUGUUGGACUGGAGUGUAGGAGAGGAAAGUGGAAUUCCACGUGUAGCGGUGAAAUGCGUAGAGAUGUGGAGGAACACCAGUGGCGAAGGCGACUUUCUGGCCUAUAACUGACGCUGAGGCGCGAAAGCGUGGGGAGCAAACAGG
rnacentral:rRNA from 1 species